AGUGGUUAGUGUGUUAAAAAUACAAAAACUACGAGACGCUCGUUAUCCUCCCGUCGCUACUGUCAGCACAACACGAGCGCCUCUCGUUGACUUCGCUUGGUGUCUUCCGCCUUGAGCUAUCGCGAGAAGUUACACCAGACAUUACUGACGGUGACAAGUCACAAAAACAAACUGCAUGUAUGAUUUAAAACGAAUUAAAACACGAGUAAAUGCACCAUUAAAACUUUUUAAUUAA